CUCCUCUCUGCUCUACCCUGCUCAGGUCCCAGGAGGAUGACAUUGGACUGCUCAGUGGGCUCUCUUCUCCCUAGCUUCCAUCCCAUGCUUUCCGCUCAGGCCAGAAGAGUUCCCAACUCCCUUGAAAUUUCCUGGAUGAUAACACUGUCUUUUGUUGUGAAGAGGUGACCCUUGCUGAGCUCCUGGAUGGGGGCGGGUUACCAGAACGACCGAGCUCUGAUUAGAAGCUUAGGAUUUUCAGCCGCACCUCUCACCCUCACCCCCCAUUCUCCAGGAAGGGGAGAAGCGUUAAAGAUGAAGUUAAUGAUUGGUUAUGUCAAUGUGAUAAAGCCUCCAUAACAAUCCCUAAAGUAGGGCUUCCAAGAGCUUCUGCAUUGGUGAGCACAUGUUGGUGUUGGGAGAGUGGCACAUGCAGAGGGCAUGGACACCCCACAAACUUGCCCUAAGCUUUUCUUCCAUCUGGAGGCUCAUCUACGUCACCUGUCAUAACCUUUUCUAAUCGAUUGGUAAAUGGGUUAUCACGGGAAAAGAAGGAAAAGAUUGGCAAUCACAGAAGAGAAAAGGGGAACAAGGCACCUGUGCCAUGGUGGACCUGGGGGUUAUGGUCAGUUCUCAGAUGGAAGUUCCUACGGGGAAGACAAGAGUCUCACGCAACAAAAGAAAACAACAAAAACACAGACAUCUGAUCAAUUGUUGAGGGAAGUGCUUAUUAAGCACCACUGCAAUAGCACUGGGAGUCAAGGAGCCCUGGGACCUUCAGUGUCCGCACAACAGAGAAAUCCCUACCUCAGAACCUUUGUGCAAACCUGCUGCGUCCUUUGCAAGUUCCUUCACAACCCCUUCCAUGUACAGUUCUACUCAACCUUGAAGACUUUCUAACGAUGAACAUUGGUCUGCUUAGAUUGACAUUAGCUGGACACAUGGCUUCUCAGAAAGACUACAUUUUGGAGCCUCCCUUGAGGUUAGGUGUGACCAACCAUGAAAAGAAAGAAGAAGAAGCAACAAGUGAACUGUGGUUUUGCGACCUGACAAUCAAGACAAUACUGAUGCCAUUGCAGAAAUGACAAAGGAAAUACUAGAUCAGGAGCUGAGUUUUAGAGCUGGGUUCUAUGAAAUGAAUUGGGUUUGAGUCAUGAAGUAAUUAAAACAAUUCAAGAAAAAUGAAAGUCUAAUGUUUGGGACACAAUUCAGUGAUAGAGAUAAAGAUGAUAAAGUUAUUCUAAUAUGCAAAUGUUAAUUGACACUGGGGAAUGAAUUAAGUCUCUUGGGGGGAGACUACAAAAACACAGGUUAGAGAAAAAAGAUCUGAACUCUGAUGAAUGCCCCCCAAUUAGGAGAUCAGAUGUAAGAGACCAGAGAAGAAGGCAAAGAAGAAAUGGUCCUAAGAGUAUGAGAAGCUCCCCCACUGUAGUAUCUCAGAGCCAAGGGAGGAAAACUUCAAG